AACGCUGGCGGCGCGCUUAACACAUGCAAGUCGAGCGAGAACCGGGGCUUCGGCCCCGGGGACAGCGGCGAACGGGUGAGUAACACGUGGGUAAUCUGCCCUCGGUUCCGGGAUAGCCCGGGGAAACUCGGAUUAAUACCGGAUAGCCUCACGAGCCUUCGGGCGCGUGAGAAAAGGUAGCUUCGGCCUCUGACCGAGGAUGAGCCCGCGGCGGAUUAGCUUGUUGGCGGGGUAACGGCCCACCAAGGCGACGAUCCGUAGCUGGUCUGAGAGGACGAUCAGCCGCACUGGGACGGAGACACGGCCCAGACUCCUACGGGAGGCAGCAGUGGGGAAUCUUGCGCAAUGGGCGAAAGCCUGACGCAGCGACGCCGCGUGAGGGAAGAAGGCCCUAGGGUUGUAAACCUCUUUCAGGUGGGACGAAGCCACUCGGGUGAAUAGCCCAGAGGGUGACGGUACCUCCAGAAGAAGCCCCGGCUAACUACGUGCCAGCCGCCGCGGUAAAAC
rnacentral:rRNA from 1 species